CUGGAAGCAAACAUGGAUUUUGAAAAAUUUGAGUGUUUGAAAACAGUAUGACCAAUAUCACCGCCUUGGACACAAAUGUCAAUGAAAUAUUCAGUCUUACAUUAUCCAAACCUCAAAGACAUAAUCAUGCAUUAAUUUCUGAAUUGCACUGAUGCUCUCUGCUGCAGCUUCUUCUGCCCCAAAACAUCAUCCCUGAACAGGUUGUUUUCUCUAGUCUCGGCCCUUCAAUUUUAUCCUGAUCUACAGAUG
rnacentral:misc_RNA from 1 species